AACGAACGCUGGCGGCAGGCUUAACACAUGCAAGUCGAGCGCACCGCAAGGUGAGCGGCAGACGGGUGAGUAACGCGAGGGAAUCUACCCAACCCUACGGAAUAACCCAGGGAAACUUGGACUAAUACCGUAUACGCCCUUUUGGGGAAAGAUUUAUCGGGGAUGGAUGAGCCCGCGUUGGAUUAGCUAGUUGGUGGGGUAAAGGCCUACCAAGGCGACGAUCCAUAGCUGGUCUGAGAGGAUGAUCAGCCACAUUGGGACUGAGACACGGCCCAAACUCCUACGGGAGGCAGCAGUGGGGAAUAUUGGACAAUGGGCGCAAGCCUGAUCCAGCCAUGCCGCGUGAGUGAUGAAGGCCUUAGGGUUGUAAAGCUCUUUCAGUAGGGAAGAUAAUGACGGUACCUACAGAAGAAGCCCCGGCUAACUUCGUG
rnacentral:rRNA from 1 species